rnacentral:misc_RNA from 1 species
UAGAAACUUCCAGGGUUCACUAGGUGGUGCUAAAGUCAAUUCAAAGAAGGAAACAGGUGUUCAAUCUGAUGAUAAAAAGAUUGACAAAAGAAAAUGGGCUUUGGAGGUACUUGCAAGAAAAAAAGCUGCUACUUGUACAAAUGUGACACAUGAAAGACAGGAAGACAGUGCAAUACUUAAAGGAAAUUACCCCUUACUAGCUCAAUUGCCAAAAGACAUGAGACCAGUAUUGGCCCCUAGCCG